rnacentral:misc_RNA from 1 species
GUCCAAAAAACGUGCUGUUUCGACGUUGGGUAUGUUGGUGCUGAGCCCGGAUAGGCAGGAGUUUAACCAGCUACCGUAUCCAGACCUAAGUUGUGCCAGUUUCACGCUUGCCCCUCAAAGCGAGCAAAGGCGAGUACGCCAUUUACGGAAAAGGAGUAUUUGAAGGUGUUGACUGAUUCCUGGAAAAUUGCGUUCAGUGCUUGUACUUACGCCGUGAUGUCCAGUGGUUGUUUCACGUGUUGCUGGUUGGUGCUCUUCAUGUUUUGUACUCCCUUUCUGAUGUGCCUUGGUGGAGGUUUGGCUUCUAUACGAUGCCUAUCGUGGUGUUCCCUACGGUAGCUUCUCACUGAGGAUCGGCUGCACAGCACACAACACUACCUCACUCCCCGCAUCACGAACGCCUCCCCGACACAGGCACGACUGUUACAAUUUAACUGUAACGCACUCCAGGGAAGGAUCGACGAGGUAUUCGACUACAAGUCUAAUAUUAUGUUAUGCUAUGCCAUUGAUAUGACUAACUCAACCUUAUUUUCGAUUACGUUCCACUUUUCAAUCAUUUGACACUUUAUUGACAUUUAUUGUGGAUGAAUCUAGCAAAAAAAGAACCUGCUAAAUUUCAAGAAAAUAACAAUCAAAACAAGUCCAUUAGCAAAAGCACUUUCAGAUAUAUUCUAAAUAUUUUUCAGCAAAAAUAUUAUUCUGUGGAUGAAGUAAUUUUGAAAUAGUCAUAUUUCGGAAAAAAAUGGUGCUUCGAUCGGGUAUAAUAAUUCCUUUUCAAUUUCGAGACAGUAAGAAAUUGCUCAUGAUCGGAGUGCCUGAAGAAAACCGUAAUUUAAAUAUCUGGGACUUAAGAAACGUUGUAAGAGCCGCAUUUGGAAUUUACAACUUUGAGUUUCGAAAUAAAAAAAUUGGGUUUAAUAUACCUGAUGAACUGCUUUUGCACUACUUGGCACAACGCCGCGAUCUUACCAAUUUCGUUAUAGAAGUCGGACAAGUUUAUGACCCUUGCAAAGAGAACUUCACCUCAAUGGGUAGCUGUAACACAUGCCACUGUCCAGCAGCACAAAAGUCCUCAUUAGAAUUACAUGACAAUGUAAGCACUUCCAUUUACAAUGCAGCGGCAGGUGGACGCUCGAAUGCCAGUGGCACAAGCUCGCAAAAUUCACAAAACGCUGAUGAAUUACCAGUGAUGAAAAUGCGUAUGCAACAUGCGAACAUACCUCCGAGUGAGAUCAGUCAUAUGGAAAUAGAGCCGAAAAUUGACUAUGAUGGCACGAUAAAUACGACUGGUGCAAAUACGGACGCGGAUGAAUCUUCGCCCCCGCCAAUGUCGCUUCAUGCCAAACCAGGCGUCUACCUUGAUGAAGAGCACCAUCAACACCAACAACAACAACAGCAGCAGCAAGAGUUACACCUAGAACGUUUGCAACAUGAAUAUGCGUUGCAACAACACCAGCAGCAGCAACAUUUCGAAGCUAUGAUGCAAGAAAAUACCACUGGCAAUAGCUUUAGGCAACGAAAAGAACGCAUGUCGAAAAAACAAAAAGAGAUAUAUGUUAACUUUAUGGAGCAGAAUCCCGUAAUUAACGAACAUCGCCGUGGUGACCCGAUUUUGGAUCAAUAUUGGGGGAAAUUAGCUGAUAUUCUCAAUUCAGUGCCACAAGGUGCAGUUAAACAUGUCGCAGAAUGGAAACAGACGUUCGAUAAUUGGCGCUACCGUGUAUUUUUGUAUGCUCGUUACAAUUCGAAAAUCACAGGUGCCGAUGCCUUAAACCCAAAAAGCUUUAAACCUUUCACACAAACGGAUAAGCGGGCUUAUCACUUUUGGAUAAGAAAUCCAGAUACAGCUCCACCAGAUUUGGAAAAAAUGCGAAAUGUAUUUGUGAAUUUAGAGGAGACACAACAAGAAUAGCUAAGACGCACAGUAAACAUUUACAAAAAAAAGAAUGUUAGGCUAAUUGAUAAUCCUAAAAUAUUAUAAGACUUAUAAUACUUUAAAAUAACAUAACUUUCCAAGUUCUUAAUAAUUCUAACCUUAUUGGACGCCUAUAUACUUACUUACUUUACUGGCGUAGACACCGCUUACGCGAUUAUAGUCGAUUUAACAA